AGCCUAACCCAGCUAAAAUAAGGAGGACGCUUUAGAAACUUCAGUGUUUCAGUCGAGAAAAUCAACAGUCCCACCUCCUGAAAAGCAACAAAACAUGGGGAAACUAAUCUUUGAAAAACUUUUCAACAUUUCCGAUAUCUUCAUAGCCUUUCCCCUGCUAAGACCCUUCUUCUCCCAAGAACAACACAGUCCCCAGAUCUCUUCAGAAAAUCAUACCUCUCUUAUAUCUCUCAAUCGCUCCUCUUGCAAACUUAAGAACACCAGCUCGUGAUCUCCAUUGUUCUCCUGUCUUCAAGCCUUCAACAGCCAGUAUGUGUGCAAAUGCAUUCACCGUUCGAGGGAAAUAUUUGAAAAUACAGUGCAUCUCCUUCAACCUCCGUGUCCAUUAAACCUAGAUCCAAUCCCUCCUUGUUACUUUGAAUGCAUGCAAGCGCUUCCACCACGAAAACUGAAGGCCGCAUCAAAGUUGAUUUUCAUGAACGGGGGUUUCGGCGGUUGCCAUCUUUUCGACUCCAUCCAUCGAAUAGAGAGCACAUGCAAACAACCUACAAUAUUCAUUGGUGUUAUGUUUAAAAAACCAAGUGAGCCACUCCAGUAACUUCAUAUUUAACAUUGUUUCAUGCUAAAUCUGACCUAAAUGAUGCUAUAAAUCCUUUGUCACAGGGCAGUCCUACAGGGCAUGGGUAUUGGUUUCAAUUCCACCUGCACAUCGCGGACAGAGACUAUAAUUAGUCAUUCUUCUAUAGUGUAGCAUACUUAGGGUACGCAGAUAGUUUUUUGAGAUUCGCCAGAUUGUAAAUUUCUGCUUAGAGGGCAAUUUUAAGUCCCACGGUUUUUUGUAAAAGUUCCUAAUUUGUUCCUGGUUGUGUACAUUAUUAGCUUCUGAAUCCUAUUGUAAUAGAGCUUUGUAUGCA